rnacentral:rRNA from 1 species
AACUAACGCUGGCGGCGUGCCUAACACAUGCAAGUCGUACGAGAAAGCCGGCUUCGGCUGGUGAGUAAAGUGGCGCACGGGUGAGUAAUGCGUGGAUAAUCUGCCCUUUAGUUGGGAAUAACGUACCGAAAGGUGCGCUAAUACCUGAUAAUACUGCAUAACUACUGUUGUGUAGUCAAAGAAGGCCUCUGUUUACAAGCUUUUGCUGAAGGAUGAGUCCGCGUACCAUUAGCUGGUUGGUGGGGUAAUGGCCUACCAAGGCUACGAUGGUUAGCUGGUCUGAGAGGAUGAUCAGCCACACUGGAACUGAGACACGGUCCAGACUCCUACGGGAGGCAGCAGUGAGGAAUAUUGCGCAAUGGGGGCAACCCUGACGCAGCAACGCCGCGUGAGUGAGGAAGGUUUUCGGACCGUAAAGCUCUGUCGAGCGGGAAGAAAUGUAUCAUGGCUAAUAUCCAUGAUACUUGACGGUACCGCUAAAGGAAGACCG